GCCCAGGUGGCGGAAUUGGUAGACGCACUACCUUGAGGUGGUAGCGCCGUAAGGCGUGGGGGUUCGAGUCCCCCCUUGGGCA
rnacentral:tRNA from 1 species